rnacentral:rRNA from 1 species
UGGGGAAUAUUGGACAAUGGGCGCAAGCCUGAUCCAGCCAUGCCGCGUGGAUGAAGAAGGCCCUAGGGUUGUAAAGUCCUUUCGGUGGUGAAGAUAAUGACGGUAACCACAGAAGAAGCCCCGGCUAAUUUCGUGCCAGCAGCCGCGGUAAUACGAAAGGGGCUAGCGUUGUUCGGAAUUACUGGGCGUAAAGCGCACGUAGGCGGCCUUGUAAGAUGGGGGUGAAAUCCCCGGGCUCAACCCGGGAACUGCCUUCAUGACUGCAAAGCUAGAGGAUGCGAGAGGAUAGCGGAAUUCCGAGUGUAGAGGUGAAAUUCGUAGAUAUUCGGAAGAACACCAGUGGCGAAGGCGGCUAUCUGGCGCAUUUCUGACGCUGAGGUGCGAAAGCGUGGGGAGCAAA